rnacentral:rRNA from 1 species
UGGGGAAUAUUGCACAAUGGGCGCAAGCCUGAUGCAGCCAUGCCGCGUGUAUGAAGAAGGCCUUCGGGUUGUAAAGUACUUUCAGUCGGGAGGAAGGUGGUAAGGUUAAUAACCUUAUCAAUUGACGUUACCGACAGAAGAAGCACCGGCUAACUCCGUGCCAGCAGCCGCGGUAAUACGGAGGGUGCAAGCGUUAAUCGGAAUUACUGGGCGUAAAGCGCACGCAGGCGGUUUGUUAAGUCAGAUGUGAAAUCCCCGGGCUUAACCCGGUGAUUGCAUCUGAUACUGGUCAGCUAGAGUCUUGUAGAGGGGGGUAGAAUUCCAUGUGUAGCGGUGAAAUGCGUAGAGAUGUGGAGGAAUACCGGUGGCGAAGGCGGCCCCCUGGACAAAGACUGACGCUCAGGUGCGAAAGCGUGGGGAGCAAACAGG